AUGUGUCCCCAGCUGAUGGGAUGGCUGUGGCCACAGCAGAGCUGUGUUGUGCUGCCAGUUGCCUGGAAAAAUGAGGGGGAAAAACCCAAAACUAAACAAAGCAAGCAGGAAAAACUCACCCAGGCAGGCAGCAGUGGGCAGUGUACACUCUGUGUGUGUGUGUGUGUACAUUGUGUGUGUGUGUGUGUGUGUGUGUGUGUGUGUGUGUGUACACUCUGUGUGUGUGUAAGUUGUGUGUGUGUACACUCUGUGUGUGUGUACACUCUGUGUGUGUGUGUGUACAAUGUGUGUGUGUGUAUUGUGUGUGUGUGUGUGUGUACACUGUGUAUGUUAUGUACACUCUGUGUGUGUACACUGUGUGUUAUGUACAUUGUAUGUGUUAUGUACACUGUGUGUACACUGUGUGUGUGUGUGUGUACACUGUGUGUGUUAUGCACACUCUGUGUGUGUGUUAUGUACACUCUGUGUGUACACUGUGUGUGUGUGUACAUUGUAUGUGUUAUGUACACUGUGUGUGUGUACACUGUGUGUGUUAUGUACACUCUGUGUGUAUGUACACUGUGUGUGUGUGUGUGUUAUGUACACUCUGUGUGUAUGUACACUCUCUGUGUGUGUGUGUUAUGUACACUUACACUCUGUGUGUGUGUACACUGUGUGUGUGUGUGUGUUAUGUACACUCUGUGUGUGUGUACAUUGUGUGUGUUAUGUACACUCUGUGUGUACACUGUGUGUGUUAUGUACAUUGUAUGUGUUAUGUACACUGUGUGUGUGUACACUGUGUGUGUGUGUGUGUGUUAUGUACAUUCUGUGUGUGUGUACACUGUGUGUGUGUCUGUGUGUUAUGUACACUCUGUGUGUGUGUACACUGUGUGUCUGUGUGUUAUGUACAUUCUGUGUGUGUGUACACUGUGUGUGUGUGUCUGUGUGUUAUGUACACUCUGUGUGUGUGUACACUGUGUGUCUGUGUGUUAUGUACACUCUGUGUGUGUGUACACUGUGUGUCUGUGUGUUAUGUACACUCUGUGUGUGUGUACACUUGUGUGUCUGUGUGUUAUGUACACUCUCUCUGUGUGUACUCGUGCAUGGUUUGCCCUCCCCAAGCUUUGUGCUCCACGGGCAGCCCUGCGUGUGCUUCCAGCAAAGCCACCAGCUCCAUCAGCACACCCAGCCACGGGCUCCCUUGGCAGUCUGGGUGGGAUGUGGAGGUGGCUUUGCCAGUGGGAUGCUGAUGUUGGUGUAAUCCUGGAAUUGUGUAGGUUGGAACAGAUCUCCAGGGCCAUCAAGUCCAACCCUGAGCCGGCACUGCCGUGUCCACCACUGAGCCACGUCCAUGGUGUGGCUCAGCAGAGCCUGGCUUGGUGCUGUAGUUGA
rnacentral:lncRNA from 1 species